UUUAAAAGUAAUGUUUCUGACAUUGGUAUCCUCAUUAUAACAUGUUAAUGUUGUAGGAUGGGGAAAAGUGUGCUAAGCUUGUGAAACCUAAGAAUGAAGAUGAAGAAAUGGAAGAUGUUCUCGAAACCGGAGAAAAGCAAACAAAGGAAGACACACAGCAAGUGCAAGGCUAUGAAGGUCUUAGACUAAACAUCAUGGAAUCAGAUUCCAUUGAAGCUGCUAUUUUGGACAUAGAAGAGCUUAUUGUUCGACUUGGGUGGCUAAAAGCCAAACUGGAUCCUGAUCUUGGAGAAGGUGCAAAAUCUUAUUGGAAGUAUGAAGAUCACCGCCCAUCUUCCUCGAGAAAGUGAAUUCACAAUCGUAGAAGAAACUGAAGUUGUUUAUGAAGAAUGGAGUAAAAUGGGGUAGAGACGUACGUGAGUAAGAGAAAGCCAAAGUAUAUGAGUAGGUUGUUUAUAUCUUUUCCAAAAACCUAGAAUGUUUAAAAACUAGUUUCAAGUUUUGUACAUAUGUUUUAGAUUUUGUAGGAAUCCCAAUGUGUGCUUGGUAGACAUUUGUAGCUGCUUGACACGAAAGGUCUUUUUAAAGUGAAGUCUUCUCUUCCAUAGAUAAUCUCAGCAACCUGCUUGGAUCUUAUAAGAUGUCAAGAACUUAUCAACUAUCACAGUCCGGUUUUAAUCUCUUCUUGGGAGGCCAUUUUUCGGCCAAAAAUAAUAUGAUUGUGCCUUUCUCCAUGUCCUAUAUAUAAUUGAGUUGGGGUUCAGAUGGAUGAUUCAGUCUAUCGUCUUCAACUAUAACAAAGUAUUAUGCUCGGAUGGUGGAUUUUCGGCCAACAUAAUAAAGCAAAGAAAGAGAGAUGAGAAAACUUUGUCGAAA